GACCCCGUUGCUCAGUGGAUUAGAGCGCUUCCCUGCGGAGGAAGAGGUCGCGCGUUCGAGUCGCGCCGGGGUCGCCA
rnacentral:tRNA from 1 species